AUGUUUUCUGUAGCUCUGCUGCUGCUGUUGGCAGCUGGAUCCUGUGUGAAGUGUGAACAGUUGACACAGCCAGCCUCUGUGACUGUGCAGCCAGGUCAACGUCUCACCAUCACCUGUCAGGUCUCUUAUUCUGUUAGCAGCUCUCACACACAUUGGAUCAGACAGGCUGCAGGGAAAGCACUGGAGUGGAUUGGAGCUGCACGCAUUGGAUUCACCACACUCUUAAAAGAUUCACUAAAGAACAAGUUCAGUAUCGACUUAGACUCUUCCAGCAACAGAGUGACUCUAAAUGGACAGAAUGUGCAGCCUGAAGACACUGCUGUGUAUUACUGUGCCAGAGACACACAAUAA